rnacentral:rRNA from 1 species
UACGUAGGGUGCGAGCGUUAAUCGGAAUUACUGGGCGUAAAGCGUGCGCAGGCGGUUCGCUAAGACCGAUGUGAAAUCCCCGGGCUUAACCUGGGAACUGCAUUGGUGACUGGCGGGCUAGAGUAUGGCAGAGGGGGGUAGAAUUCCACGUGUAGCAGUGAAAUGCGUAGAGAUGUGGAGGAACACCAAUGGCGAAGGCAGCCUUCUGGGCCAACACUGACGCUCAUGCACGAAAGCGUGGGGAGCAAACAGG